UAAAACGCUAUGAGAAAGAAGAGUAAUCAUCCUGAUUCUAUCAGCGAGCUUCGGUUGGUGAGAGGAAGCAAGAACUGGAUGAUGAAAAUCCCUUUUGAGUGAUGUAGUGAACUGACAGUAAUCUGCAUUGGGUACGCCCGUUAUCGCGUUAACGUAUCGCAAUUUAUUUGCUGUACGCGAUGAGGCUAUUUCAGCGAUGGACUAGCAAACUAAGGUGGUACCGUGCAUAAGCGCCCUUAAU
rnacentral:ncRNA from 1 species